GUGUUGGAUGAAAGGGGAGAGGUUAGCACUGCCCUUGACAAGGACGGGGAGGCCCUUGGGCCUAACAACACACACACACACACGGUUAAGGCAUUGCCGCUAUUUCGUGGCAUCUAACCAGAA
ensembl:snRNA